rnacentral:tRNA from 1 species
GAGGUUGUGGCUCAGCGGUAGAGCAUUCACCUAGCACGAGUGAGGCGCUGGGUUCGAUCCUCAGAACCACA